rnacentral:lncRNA from 1 species
UUACCUACGCGACAGGUAUGUCAUGACAUUCAUGCCAUGGCAUAUCGUUUAUGUUCGUCAUACACUGUUGUCAUACUAUACCAAUUUUGGUACGUACCAAGUUAACAAGACGACCAUGAGAACACCAAGAUGUAUACGGCUGUUUCAUGACCUACAUGACAUACAUGUCAUGAUAUUCAUGUCAUGAUCGAUCAUUUAUGUUUCUCAUACACGCUAGUCAUACUAUGCCAGUUUUGGCACAUACCAAGUUUACGAAACGAACAGGAGAGUACUAAGACAUAGGCGGCUAGAUAGAGUGCAAUAGUGAUAGUGUGAUAGAUAUUGUCGAAGUGGCAAAUGUUCGCUAAGAAAUGCUUCGCAUUUAAAUGAGAAUACCUAUGGGGGUAUAUGGGGUUCCAUAGAAAAUGCAUCGGGAAGCCUAUAGUUAACAUGAAGGUGGGCCAACUUGAAAUUUGAGAGUGGGCCAAAAUAAAAUUUGCAAUGAGCCGACUUGAACUUGCCAGUGGGCCAACAUAAACCGGGGGGCGAACCACUUAAAUUUCGGGGGUAGGCCCACUUGAUAUUUUGAGGUGGACGAACUUAAAAUUUGGACGUGAGCCAACCUAAAUAUAGGGAUGGGUAAAGUUAACAUUUCGUGGUGGGGGUGGGCAAAGUUGAAUUUGAGGGCGGGGCACCUGGAAAUUUUGGGGUGGGCGAACUGAAAUUUGGAAGCACGCUUACACUUACUUGCACAACUAAAGUCGAAUUUCUGCAUUCUUUUUGUUGUAAUUUAUCCGUUAUUAGGCACUGCCGAAAUGCUCCACCCCAAUACACCAUUUGUACAAGAUGUUUUACUGCAGCACACUUGCGUGUUACUACGAAGCUUUCCUUAUUUUAUUUGCCAUUAUGGAACAUUUAUAAGACCUCUGCCGCGGAUUCUACUACUUUUGCUUUGUGCUACACCAACUAUUUUUCAAGCUGCGUAAAAAAAGUCCUCUUUCAAUA